UAGGGAAUCUUCCGCAAUGGGCGAAAGCCUGACGGAGCAACGCCGCGUGAGUGAUGAAGGUCUUCGGAUCGUAAAACUCUGUUAUUAGGGAAGAACAAAUGUGUAAGUAACUAUGCACGUCUUGACGGUACCUAAUCAGAAAGCCACGGCUAACUACGUGCCAGCAGCCGCGGUAAUACGUAGGUGGCAAGCGUUAUCCGGAAUUAUUGGGCGUAAAGCGCGCGUAGGCGGUUUUUUAAGUCUGAUGUGAAAGCCCACGGCUCAACCGUGGAGGGUCAUUGGAAACUGGAAAACUAGAGUGCGGAAGAGGAGAGUGGAAUUCCAUGUGUAGCAGUGAAAUGCGCAGAGAUAUGGAGGAACACCAGUGGCGAAGGCGACUUUCUGGUCUGUAACUGACGCUGAUGUGCGAAAGCGUGGGGAUCAAACAGG
rnacentral:rRNA from 1 species